rnacentral:lncRNA from 1 species
AGACUCGUGAAGGAAUGUUUAGCUGAAGCAGACACAGGGGAGAGGAUGCUCUGGUAAAGCAAGCACGUGAAAGGAUACAUGAUGAAGGAUUCUUUGCUGAUAACAUACAUGUAUUAGUCUCCUGCCUUGCACUGCAUAGUCAAGCUGCAUUUGUUCGGACUCUAUAGACAGAUAUGCACAAAAAGCUUCUGGUGGUGUGCUGCCGUUUCUUGCUGUUUCUGAGAACUCAGGCUAAUUGGCAGAGUGAUGUCAGUUGAAACAGCUGCACGUGCUGAGGUAAGAGAGGAGCUGAGGCAAGGCCCAGGGAGGACACGUGAUGUCGGAGGGUAUAAAUAGAAUGACGAGUGAUGGAUAGUGGCUGAGGCUGAGCUUGGCUUGCUUAUAGAAUUAGCUGUCCCAUUGAGUCUUCGCCGAUCUUCUCUUCCCUGAGAGAAUCACAGCUGAGAAGUUCUCCUGGCAUCCCUCCUCGUCCCUCCUUGUUGACUUGACUGAGCUGAGGCCUGGCUGUUCCGACUAGGUUGAGCCACCGAUUCUGGUGACCUGAUAUUUCUGUGAGGUGUUUCCAAGUUGACUGAACUGCCACUGCUAACCUGUGAACUGAACUGCUGAUUUCCAGGCAACACAGAUGGGAGUUGCUCCAAAGAGCCUUUCUAAACAGGUCCACUUCCCCUGUAUCCUUUCUUUUCCACUACCUCUCGUGGAUGGGUGGGUUAGAAGGGAGGUUAAAAUGUUUAAGAACUAUCAUUAAAAAUAGGUUUUGAAAAAAUUAAAGUUACAUACACAUAU